AUGGGUUAUAAAUUGUGGGUUGCCAUCUGAUUUAUUAUGAUUUUAAGCUGUAUUUCAGUUGAUUAUAUUAAAACAUAAAAUCCAGCAACCGACUGAAAUACAGCUUAAAAUCAGCUUAAAAUCAGAGUAAAUCAGAUGGCAACCCACAAUUUAUAACCCAUAA
rnacentral:miRNA from 1 species